rnacentral:rRNA from 1 species
CCCUUAGAUGUCCUGGGCCGCACGCGCGCUACACUGAUGCAUUCAACGAGUCUACCUUGGCCGAGAGGCCUGGGCAACCUUUUAAACGUGCAUCGUGAUAGGGAUAGAUUAUUGCAAUUAUUAAUCUUGAACGAGGAAUUCCUAGUAAACGCAGAUCAUCAAUCUGCAUUGAUUACGUCCCUGCCCUUUGUACACACCGCCCGUCGCACCUACCGAUUGGAUGGUCCGGUGAAGCCUCGGGAUUGUGGUUCUUGCCGCUUUAUUGUGGCGUGACCGCGAGAACUUGUCUAAACCUUAUCAUCUAGAGGAAGGUGAAGUCGUAACA